AACCAACAGGGAUUGCCCUAGUAACGGCGAGUGAAGCGGCAACAGCUCAAAUUUGAAAUCUGGCGUCUUUGGCGUCCGAGUUGUAAUUUGCAGAGGGCGCUUUGGCAUUGGCAGCGGUCCAAGUUCCUUGGAACAGGACGUCACAGAGGGUGAGAAUCCCGUACGUGGUCGCUAGCCUUUACCGUGUAAAGCCCCUUCGACGAGUCGAGUUGUUUGGGAAUGCAGCUCUAAAUGGGAGGUAAAUUUCUUCUAAAGCUAAAUACUGGCCAGAGACCGAUAGCGCACAAGUAGAGUGAUCGAAAGAUGAAAAGCACUUUGGAAAGAGAGUUAAAAAGCACGUGAAAUUGUUGAAAGGGAAGCGCUUGCAGCCAGACUUGCCUGUAGUUGCUCAUCCGGGUUUUUACCCGGUGCACUCUUCUAUAGGCAGGCCAGCAUCAGUUUGGGCGGUUGGAUAAAGGUCUCUGUCACGUACCUCCUCUCGGGGAGAACUUAUAGGGGAGACGUAAUGCAACCAGCCUGGACUGAGGUCCGCGCAUCUGCUAGGAUGCUGGCGUAAUGGCUGUAAGCGGCCCGUCUUGAAACACGGACCAAGGAGUCUAACAUCUAUGCGAGUGUUUGGGUGUCAAGCCCGAGCGCGUAAUGAAAGUGAACGGAGGUGGGAACCUUUCGGGGUGCACCAUCGACCGAUCCUGAUGUCUUCGGAUGGAUUUGAGUAAGAGCAUAGCUGUUGGGACCCGAAAGAUGGUGAACUAUGCUUGAAUAGGGUGAAGCCAGAGGAAACUCUGGUGGAGGCUCGCAGCGGUUCUGACGUGCAAAUCGAUCGUCAAAUUUGGGCAUAGGGGCGAAAGACUAAUCGA
rnacentral:rRNA from 2 species